rnacentral:rRNA from 1 species
AUGGUGGUGCAGCGCCCUGUGGAACCAGUAAUAGAGGAACUCGACAGGUCCUAUGUGAAGCAAGGCGGUGAUGAUGGCUCCCUCUGUUAUCCACACGGGCAUGCGACUGACAUUCGGGACAGCUGCGUAGGCCAGGAACUCUCCCGGUCCACCUGGUCGAAUUCAAGUCCACGGUCGACUAUGAUGUGCUUCCUGCGUGCGGUCUGGUGGCGAGACAAGCUGAUCCAGAUCUGGUUGUGGAUCAUCCUCAGCAGCAGAGCUGGUAAUAUGGCGGCGUAUGCCAGGCUCAUGUCUCCCCACCCCUUGGUGACCACCCUGUGCGCAGUGUGCAACGCCGCAGGCGCCAAGACCAGGUACUGUGUAUAUAGAGCAUCAGGUUAA